rnacentral:rRNA from 1 species
UGCAAGUCGAACGGUAACAGGGAGCUUGCUCCGCUGACGAGUGGCGAACGGGUGAGUAAUACAUCGGAACGUGUCCUGUAGUGGGGGAUAGCCCGGCGAAAGCCGGAUUAAUACCGCAUACGCUCUACGGAGGAAAGGGGGGGAUCUUCGGACCUCUCGCUAUAGGGGCGGCCGAUGGCAGAUUAGCUAGUUGGUGGGGUAAAGGCCUACCAAGGCGACGAUCUGUAGCUGGUCUGAGAGGACGACCAGCCACACUGGGACUGAGACACGGCCCAGACUCCUACGGGAGGCAGCAGUGGGGAAUUUUGGACAAUGGGCGCAAGCCUGAUCCAGCAAUGCCGCGUGUGUGAAGAAGGCCUUCGGGUUGUAAAGCACUUUUGUUCGGGAAGAAAAGGAGCGGGCUAAUAUCCUGCUCUGAUGACGGUACCGGAAGAAUAAGCACCGGCUAACUACGUGCCAGCAGCCGCGGUAAUACGUAGGGUGCAAGCGUUAAUCGGAAUUACUGGGCGUAAAGCGUGCGCAGGCGGUU